rnacentral:rRNA from 1 species
AACGAACGCUGGCGGCAUGCCUAACACAUGCAAGUCGAACGAGACCUUCGGGUCUAGGGGCGCACGGGUGCGUAACGCGUGGGAACCUGCCCUUAGGUUCGGAAUAACUCCCCGAAAGGGGUGCUAAUACCGGAUAAUGUCUUCGGACCAAAGAUUUAUCGCCGUUGGAUGGGCGCGCGUUGGAUUAGCCAGUUGGUAGGGUAAAAGCCUAUCAAGGCGACGUUCCAUAGCUGGUCUGUGAGGAUGACCUGCCACGCUGGGGCUGAGGCACGGCCCAGACUGCUACGCGGGGCAGCAGUGGAGAAUAUUGGACGCGGGGGGAAAACCUGACACCGCAACGCGGCGUAAGUGAUGCAGGCGGUAGGAUUGUACAGCUCUCUUAGCCGGGAUGAUAAUGACAGUACCGGGAAAAUAAGCACCGGCUAACUACGUG